UGGUACUAAUUUGAACACAUCAUUCCAUGCUUCCUGGAGUAAUCACACAGCUUGCUUAGAUUUUCUAAACAUGACUGAACUGUGAUGAAGCGAUCAACAUUAACUGCCAAGACUCCACAUAGCAAUGAUGUGCUGGCCACCCACUGGGAAAACACCUGUCACCCCUUGAUGGACCUUUCUGACACUGUUUGCCUGUCCUCAAAAGUUCCUGAAAUAUUUACCAGUCAGCAUCUUGGAAAAAACAAAUAAUGGGGCCUUCUCAGAGUGAGGAAGCUUCCUGGAGGGU
rnacentral:lncRNA from 1 species